rnacentral:rRNA from 1 species
UACGGAGGGUGCAAGCGUUAAUCGGAAUUACUGGGCGUAAAGCGCGCGUAGGUGGCUUGUUAAGCGGAAUGUGAAAGCCCCGGGCUCAACCUGGGAACUGCAUUGCGAACUGGCAAGCUAGAGUACAGUAGAGGGUAGUGGAAUUUCCUGUGUAGCGGUGAAAUGCGUAGAGAUGGGAAGGAACAUCAGUGGCGAAGGCGACUGCCUGGACUGAUACUGACACUGAGGUGCGAAAGCGUGGGGAGCAAACAGG